CGCUGGCGGCGCGCCUAACACAUGCAAGUCGAACGAGAGAUGAAGAGCUUGCUCUUCAAAUCGAGUGGCGAACGGGUGAGUAACGCGUGAGGAGCCUGCCUCAAAGAGGGGGACAACAGUUGGAAACGGCUGCUAAUACCGCAUAAGCCCACGGCUCGGCAUCGAGCAGAGGGAAAAGGAGCAAUCCGCUUUGAGAUGGCCUCGCGUCCGAUUAGCUAGUUGGUGAGGUAACGGCCCACCAAGGCGACGAUCGGUAGCCGGACUGAGAGGUUGAACGGCCACAUUGGGACUGAGACACGGCCCAGACUCCUACGGGAGGCAGCAGUGGGGGAUAUUGCACAAUGGGGGAAACCCUGAUGCAGCGACGCCGCGUGGAGGAAGAAGGUUUUCGGAUUGUAAACUCCUGUCGUUAGGGACGAUAAUGACGGUACCUAACAAGAAAGCACCGGCUAACUACGUG
rnacentral:rRNA from 1 species